CUGGGUCUGUUUUGCUGUUGUAUGGCUACUUUGCUGCUAGGCUGUUAGUGUGACACCCCCAAAUUCGGGUACUUAAAACCCUUAUUAAGUGCUUUACGAUAUCAAACAUUCAACAUAUAAUAAACUUAAACUUAGUAAAGUUAUUACAUCAAAGUUCUACUGAUCCCAAGUACGUAUACCUUUGAAUGUUCAUUACAUGAUAAUUUAAUAUUUACAAACAUAUAAACUAUCUAUUACAUCAACUCUCAACUAUUCUGUUAUUUUUCCUUUUCCCUUAUCCUUUCCAGACCCUUCUGCCCGAGUCUGCUCAGCUGAAAACAUUUAUAAUAAAACAAGUAUGAGCAUUUAAUUGCUCAGCAAGUAAUAACAUUCUUCAAGGCUCAACAAGAAAUAAAUAUUUUCUUUGAAGCAUACUUUGACAGUGAAUCAAAACUGUAAAGCAUUAAUCUUGAAUCAUUCACAUUUCUGAAAUAUUAUAACAAUAUUGAAUAACUGAGAGGUUUUAAGACCAUGAACAUAUUUUUCUUUUCUUAAAAACGUUCAAUCAGAAAUUUUAUCAGAUGAACCGUCUUAUCUUACGAGCACGUAGGAUGAUCAGCCCUUUAUGUCCUGUAUUUGAUCAAUACUAUCUUAUCCAGAACAAUUUUCAUGUUCUACGUCACCACUCCCAUUUCAGUGUAUGUUCAUUCUCAGUUUAGAAUCCAAACUACAACAAUAUAGCUGGAUCAUCGCACAAUAAUAUUUCAAGAAUUAUUAUAAAAAAAUUGAAAUAUUUUACAUCUGUGUCUGGCCCGAAGAAAUGGCUCAGACUUCUUUGCAACCUGCUCAUGCAUAUGAAAUUUCAUUUGAUAUACAUGAUAAUACAUUACCCAAUCUUUUGAAGCUAAUUGGAAUAAAAAGGUUAUUCAACCUUAUAAUAUUCAUAAAUAAGGAAAGACAGUUCAGAAUUUAAAGAACCUGUCCACAUAUGAAUAAUCUCAGAAUACUUGCUUAAUAAAGAGUAAGAUUUAGAUACUUGCCUUGUUUGUAGACUAUUUGUACAAUUUCAGCUUAACUUGUGUAUUCUCACAGAUCCUACACAAUUAUUUGCAUUUACAAGCAUAUUAGCCAAAUAGCCAAGUCAUAUAGCUUGUAUGUUCACAUAUCACAUAGUCACAGUGAUCAUGUUUUUAGUUCAUAUUCCAUAUUUAAGAUACAUUUUUCAAAUAUCUCAUUCAUAUUCUUCUAAUAACCUUUUCUUUUUUUUAUAGGGUCUGACAUAUUUUCUGUUCAUGAACUUUUCAUGAUAUUAGUUCAUACUCCUUUUACUUCUUUUGUUUCCAUAAGUAAACAUUGCAAUCUGCUUUAUAACUUUGGUAUUCAAGGUGAAUACCUAAGGUAUUUCAUGUUUCACAAGGUAACUUUAUAGCACAUCUUAUAUACCAAAGGUAAUUUCCACUUGUAUAGUUAUUCUUUGGCAUUUUUACGAUUUAUAGACUCAUUCUGGUAUGCCAUUUCGUUACAAAUUCUUGUUUUACUUUGAAAUGCUAAAACAACCUUUUGAGGUUUAAUAGUACUGAACUCAGUUUAGUACUUCCAAUAUUGGCCAUUUAUUCAUGAUAGUUCUUAUUAUUGAGUUUAUUAACUUACUUAUAAAAUCCUUGAGUAUAUUCUAGAUUUAUUUAUAUACACUAAUGAUUUACAGUUAACAUGUUUUACCAUUUAAUUAAAACAGCUUCUUCAAGCCUUUUUCUUCGAAAUCUAACCUUUUCAUUAUCAAUCUAAUAACAUUAGAUCAUGGGUUUGGUAUGAGUCCCCCCUUACUUGCUCAGUUGGGGAAAAUUAUAAACCCUUUCUUAUAGCUAUAUCAUUAGCUAAGCCUUGAUAUGGUUUUGGUUGGCCCCUUAGGUCCCAAAUCAGACCCAAAGCUGAUAUUGCAGCUGUUAACUUGCCAACUGCUGCUACAAAUGAGCAGCAGCCCUGCCAUUCUUCUUUAACUCCUAUACUUGCAAACCCCAAAGGAAAGUCUAUAUACUUGUUUAUAAAACUAACUUAAACCAUUCUUGAUAGCUAGCUCUAUAAAAUUAUAUUAAUUCGUCAAAACAGGCUGCCCAAACUGCUAUAGUAGCAGCUCGCAGCUACCUGCUGCAGUGCAUUAGAACCAUUUUUGCAACUAGUAGCAGCAGUCCCUUCUCCCCUUGCUCUUUGCUUCAAGCCACUUCACAUCCUAGCUCACUAGUUUAGUCACUACGAGUUUUUAGUGUGCUAUAGAUAAGGCAACAACACAAACCACUGCCUGAAAGCCAAUAAGAAACUCUCAGCCAUUGCACAUCCGGUCUACUGCUGCUACCUAGACAGCAGCCUUGCUCAUUGCACAAUAUCAGGAAUUUUAUUUCAAGUCUUGUAUACAUACUAGUGAUACACUCAUUUGUUAUCUAAACCCAACCGCUGGGCAAUCUUAAUAGUCUAACCAUGCUCAACAAUAGUGCAAGAAAGUAAACAUUAACCUUCACUCAUUCAUGCCCACUUCUACUGUCGUGGACAGCAGCUCGGCCGCCUAGUCCAUGCCAUCUUGGCUUCUUGUUUGAUAAGUUAAACACAAUCUCAUUUGUGCCCAAAUUAUAUAGAUAGUGCAGAUAAUAUUUCAACCCAUUUUAUUAAAGGAUUAGCUUUAUAUUUUGGUUUCUAUAGGUUGCUCUUCACAGCACUCAAUGUUACCUCAACAUGUUAAAAUCUCAACUAUUAGCUUUAGCCUAGAAAGUGCACUGUGAUUAAGUUUAACAUGUUAAAACACUUUAACUAACAUCACAUGUGUUAACUAAAUCAGGCCCAAGCUUUAAUUCUAUCAUAUUUUUGGUUUUAGACAAAGACAGUUCAUUAAAGACUUUUGUCAAGCACUUGGAGUGCAUAGUUUUAAAAUUCUCUUUUCAUGGCCAUUGAUUUGCAUUCUAGCCUCAUAUUCCUUAACUUAUUGCUUCUCACAGUCAACUUAUCUCCAUUAAUCAAAAUUCCAGCCACAAGCAGUUUGUUUCACAGCUUAGCCAAACAUACUUACCAUAAGCAAAAUAAUAUACUAGCCUUCCUCUAAUUUAAAAGUUUGAUAUUAACGAACAGUGAGUUUCAAUAACCCACACAUGGUCUGUUGUUAUGAAAGUUAAACUUACCAAUUGUUUUACCAGUUAAAUUUAUUCAACCAUUUAACCCAAUAUCACCGAUAUAUAUAUCUCAUAUAGACUCUCAUCAACCAAAACUAAUCAUCAAUUACACACUUCUUUCGUAUACAUGCAACUUUACUCUACUGUAUAGAGAGAAAUUACCUUUAAUUUCUAUAUCUCUGUGUCGUUGGCUUCAGUUUUGUUCCAGCUCUUCUUCCUUAAUAACCCCAAAUUUGGGUAUUCUUCUAACUCUUACUUGCUUAACCCAGCUCGACGUAAGUCCAGAGUUUCAAUUAUUUGUAUAUCACUUUUUUUUUUUUGUGGGCUUAGGAAAUAAACUGAUCUUAAAAACUUGAAGCUCUGCUUUAUCAGAAUAUUGGCUUCGCUAAUCACAUUAUAGGCAAGCUGAGUUGUAGAGCUAGGUUACUGAAUAAUUGCCAGCACAUGCU
rnacentral:lncRNA from 1 species